GAAAAAAAAAGGAGGCUGAGGCGGGCGGAUCACUUGAGGUUAGAAGCUGCUAAGACAAACACGAGAUCUUCUGAGCGCGCCAGCCCAUCCAUCUGCACCAGUAACUCUGUCUUCAUCCGCAGGCUUCCUUCAUGUUCUCCCCUACAGAGAGACAAGACGUGAUUCUCCUAAGUGUCAGAGGCUUCGCCCUCAUGACAAGAGCAGCAUUCACAGCAAUGUCCCUGUGACUGUAGAACAGUUUCUGUUCUGAUGGCCAAUGGAGCCGUUCAUACUAGAGUUAGAGAAAAU
rnacentral:lncRNA from 1 species